rnacentral:rRNA from 1 species
UACAGAGGGUGCAAGCGUUAAUCGGAUUUACUGGGCGUAAAGCGCGCGUAGGCGGCUAAUUAAGUCAAAUGUGAAAUCCCCGAGCUUAACUUGGGAAUUGCAUUCGAUACUGGUUAGCUAGAGUGUGGGAGAGGAUGGUAGAAUUCCAGGUGUAGCGGUGAAAUGCGUAGAGAUCUGGAGGAAUACCGAUGGCGAAGGCAGCCAUCUGGCCUAACACUGACGCUGAGGUGCGAAAGCUGGGGAGCAA